CCUGGCUCAGAUUGAACGCUGGCGGCGUGCUUAACACAUGCAAGUCGCGCGUGAAAGGACUUCGGUCCGAGUAAAGCGGCGCACGGGUGAGUAACGCGUGGAUGAUCUACCCAUGAGUUAGGAAUAACGGCUGGAAACGGUCGCUAAUACCAAAUACGCUCCGAUUUCAACUUCGGGGGAAAGGUGGCCUCUGCUUGCAAGCUACUGCUCAUGGAUGAGUCCGCGUCCCAUUAGCUAGUUGGUGGGUAACGGCCCACCAAGGCGACGAUGGGUAGCCGGUCUGAGAGGAUGACCGGCCACACUGGGACUGGAACACGGCCCAGACUCCUACGGGAGGCAGCAGUGGGGAAUAUUGCGCAAUGGGCGAAAGCCUGACGCAGCGACGCCGCGUGAGGGAUGAAGGUCCCUCGGAUCGUAAACCUCUGUCAGGAGGGAAGAACCGCCACGGUGCUAAUCAGCCGUGGUCUGACGGCACCUCCAAAGGAAGCACCGGCUAACUCCGUGCCAGCAGCUGC
rnacentral:rRNA from 1 species